UCAGCCGGGAAGAGGUGUCAAAUGACUGGAUCAGCGGGCGUGGCUUCCCCCUCCCCCUCCCCCCACCCAGCUAUAACAUCUACAUGGAACAUGCUGGAAGGCAGUUUGCUGAAACUGGCGAAUCUCUCGGAUGAUAUGGGAUAUCUGUGGGAAGUUGAGGGUGCUUUAGAAGACAGUUUACUCUCUCAGCGUUGCCCCAACCUUCAGACCGAAAGGGUCAUCUACAGUCUGAAGUCAUGGCCUCUUAGAAGAUCCCCUGGCUUUACACCAGCCACCUGCCUCCACGGUGACACAUGUCUAUGACACCAACACGACAGCCCUCCCACCAAACCUCAGGCUUCCAGCCAACGCGGCAGGCAUAUCGGAGCCUACUGUGCACGGGAAAGGCUUCUGUCCCUCAUCAGGACAGCGUUUGCAACUUAGAAGCGGGACACACUUUUAACUAAACGUGGAAGCCCAUUUGACAAGGCUUGCAAUAAAGCAAGAGGAGAAAUAGAUACCGGCCACCCUGCUUCUGCCCACAGAGGUCUUCUUGGACUCAUCACCCCCAGCUAAUAAUUCUUUGGGGCAAGUUUGACGCUUACUUGCUUAGGAGAUUUUGUUGCAUAAGUGCUUUAUUUUUUUCAAUAAAGAUGAUCACCCUCAAGA